ACAAGAAAUAUUAUAUAGUUUGGUGGACGUAGUGUGGACAUUACAAAUGAUGGACGCUGUGAACGCUGCUGGUCGGAACCUCUAAAGAAGAAGAAAAAGUGGUCCGACAAAAAGGAGCCUCUUACACAGACAAAGUGUUGGUGCCACAGCGGGGGAUAAGGGGACACCGGAGCUCAAACCCCUUGAUGAGCCACUUGCCGCUGAAUCCCUCCUGAGUGAAUAGUGACGGUGGUGGAACACGGACAUGCAAGACGCACCGGAUCAUCCAGUCUUUAGUCGCGAAGUGUUCCAGCGGGGUCGGUGGUGCUGCAGCUGAGCAGGAGCGGCGUUCGCGCAACCCCAGCGUCUCCACUUAACCUCGUGCGUCACAACCCUCCAGCGCCGUGUCCUCAGAUGCAGUCCUGAAAACGCAAAGAGACACAAUCGAUGCUAUUAACGAGGUUGCCAAAUGAGUUGGUGGAAAUGUUGUGUGACAUAAGCUGUACAUUGAAAUAAUUACUCAAUAAAUAGUGUUUGUUUUCA